rnacentral:misc_RNA from 1 species
GAAAUGCGAUAAGUAGUGUGAAUUGCAGAAUUCAGUGAAUCAUCGAAUCUUUGAACGCACAUUGCGCCCUUUGGCAUUCCGAAGGGCAUGCCUGUUCGAGCGUCAUUGCAACCCCUCCGGCCGCCCGCUUGUUUGGGCGGGCCGGGCGUUGGGCGUCUUGUGGCUGCGGCCACUCGCCUGAAAAGCAUCGGCGCCGGCGCGUCGGCCCCCCGCGCGUAGCACAUUGUUCGCGCCCCUGGGGACCCCGCCGCGGCGGCUGCCCGCAAGCAACCACGUCUUUCUUGACUUGACCUCGGAUCAGGUAGGGAUACCCGCUGAACUUAA